CUUUUUUUUUUUUUUUCUGUGGCAGCCAAUUUUUUUUUUGACUUCUUAGUUGGCUGCAUACUAUACAAGUUUCCUAAAACAUAGACAUGCAUAUUAUAAAACAAAUCUAGAGUUGGUAGAGAGGUAAGCUGACAACUUGGAACUACUUUUUCAACCCUAGACUUAGUGGUGUGUGCUAUUUUAUUUUGAGAAUGUAUUUAUUUGUUUCUUUUUGUGUCUUGUGUAACAAGUUGUAACAAUGUUGACAUUUUUUGUUUAUGUGACUUAGUUAUUGUUAUAGUAAGUCUCAUGUACUAUUAUAACCAAAUGUAAACUACACAGGAAAUAAUUUUUAAAAAGAAAGCCAUCACUUAACUACAUUUGACUUUUGUUUCCUAAGCAUUCUUGGUCCAAUGAAGAAAUUUUUGUAAAGGAUGAUAUGAACUGUCUACAAUCCAUAAGUAUCAGGGGUGCGAUGGC